GGGGAAGCUAACUGCAGUCGAACGGGGUAUAUAAGCGGAAUUUACGGAUGGAAGGUUAUAUACUUAGUGGCGGACGGGUGAGUAACGCGUGGGCAACCUGCCCCGUGCCGGGGGAUACCGCCUGGAAACAGGCGCUAAUACCGCAUAAGCGCAUACAGCCGCAUGGGUGUAUGCGGAAAGCUCCGGCGGCACGGGAUGGGCCCGCGCCCGAUUAGCCAGUUGGCGGGGUAACGGCCCACCAAAGCGACGAUCGGUAGCCGGCCUGAGAGGGCGGACGGCCACAUUGGGACUGAGACACGGCCCAAACUCCUACGGGAGGCAGCAGUGGGGAAUAUUGCACAAUGGGGGAAACCCUGAUGCAGCAACGCCGCGUGGGUGAAGGAGCGUUUCGGCGCGUAAAGCCCUGUCAGCGGGGAAGAAGAAAGACGGUACCCGACCAAGAAGCCCCGGCUAACUACGUGCCAGCAGCCGCGGUAAUACGUAGGGGGCGAGCGUUAUCCGGAAUUACUGGGUGUAAAGGGAGCGUAGACGGCGAGGUAAGCCUGAAGUGGAAGCCCGCGGCCCAACCGCGGAACUGCUUUGGGAACUGUUUUGCUGGAGUAUGGGAGGGGUAAGCGGAAUUCCUGGUGUAGCGGUGAAAUGCGUAGAUAUCAGGAGGAACACCGGUGGCGAAGGCGGCUUACUGGACCAUAACUGACGUUGAGGCUCGAAAGCGUGGGGAGCGAACAGGAUUAGAUACCCUGGUAGUCCACGCCGUAAACGAUGAUUACCAGGUGUCGGGUGUCGAAAGACGGCCGGUGCCGCAGCGAACGCAGUAAGUAAUCCACCUGGGGAGUACGUUCGCAAGAAUGAAACUCAAAGGAAUUGACGGGGACCCGCACAAGCGGUGGAGCAUGUGGU
rnacentral:rRNA from 1 species